UGUCGCCCUUCGCAUGACUGAUGGCCCCACCGGACGUCUCCGCGCCCACAGCCUGCGCACUGGUUCCUGCGGGCGCCCGCGGCUGCGAGGUUUGAGGAAGGGGCGCCCGCCGCAGGGCCUUGUUCGCCGGGGAAGUGGGGCCGGGACGUGGGGACGCACCUGGUGCAGGCGGUCAUCGUGGGCCCCAACAGCCCUGGCGGCCUCCUCGCAGCGCCGAGGCACGGGGGCCACCACAGGCCCCGGGGACAGCAGCGGAGGGGGCGGCCGGUGGCCGGCCUUCCCGAGCCCUCUAAAGCUGCAUAGUGUUGGGAGCUUGGCCUCACCUGGAGCCAGGUGCCCAGGUGGGGCCAAUCCACAGGCACCUCCCAGGGCCGCCCAGAGUCGCACUCAGGGAUAGGCAGCUGCGCAGUGCGCUCCUACCCCGAAGUCCUUGUCGGUGAGGUCCCCAGCCCUUCAUCCACCACCUGUCCCGAGCUCCCCUCCAGCCCCUCGGUGAGGGUUCAGUGAAGCCCUGGGCUUCCCCAUUUGUGUAGGCCUCACUCACCACCCUUUUUCACUAUUUCUGUUUCAUUUGUAAACUAAAACCAAGGCUGUUUCUCUCAGGUUUGAGUGCAUUCCUCCCUCCCUUUCCCUUCCACAGAGAGCGGGUCCCCCAUCCCACCUGGCCUCUGGGUCAGCCCCCUGUCCCCCAUCCCGCUUGGCCUCUGGGUCAGCCCCCUGUCCACCAUCCUGCCUGGCCUCUGGGUCAGCCUCCUGUCCCCCUACCCCCCAUCCCACCUGGUCUCUGGGUCAGGCCCUGUCCCAGUGUCCUGGCCCCCACCUCCCUGCCUGCUUCGCCCCUUCCCGUUCAGUGUGCCCCAGGCUUCCUUUCUCCUAGGGACAGCUCCCCAAGAUGGCACGGUCAUCAGUGUCCUGAAAUGUCACUGUGAUGGCAUCCACAGUCAAAACGGCCCCCACUCAACAUCAUCAGGAAGAUGCCAGGGUCCCACUGAGGGGUUCAGAGACAGCAUGCCUGCCCGGCCUGGAGGUCCCCUCCCCUGGAAUGCUGCACAGCCUCAUUCUGCACCAGCUGUCCCAUCGGGAAGAGAAAACCAUGGUUGCCGGGCAACGUGAGGUGAUGCCUGGAGACGAGAUGCAAGACUACACAGGCAUCGUGCCCAAAGGUCAAACACCAGCUGCACCACAGGGCCCCACACAGCCACUGUGGGUGGCUGCAUGUAUGUGUAUAUCUACAUGUGGGUCUGUGCGCAUCUGCGUGUAUGUGUAUGCAUGUGUAUAUCUGCAUAUAUGUGUGUCAUGGAUUGAACUAUGUCCCCCCCAAAAUGUGUGUAUUAACUUGAUUAGGCCAUGAUUCCCAGUAUUAUGUGGUUAUCCACCAUUUUGUGAUUGUAAUUUUAUGUUAAAGAGGAUUAAGGCGAGAUGUAACACCCUUACCAGAUCAUAUCCCUGAUCCAAAGUAAAGGGAGUUUCCCUGGGGUAUGGCCUGCACCACCUUUUAUCUCACAAGACAUAAAAGGAAAGGGAAGCUAGCAGAGGGGGGGACCUCAGGACCUCAUACCACCAAGAAAGAAGCACCGGGAGUAGAGCACGUCCUUUGGACCCAGGGUUCCUGUGCAGAGAUGCUCCCAGACCAAGGGAAGACUGAUGACAAGGACUUUCCUCCAGAACCAACAGAGAGAGAAAGCCUUCCCCUGGAGCUGGCACCCUGAAUUCAGACUUCUAGCCUACUGGACUGUGAGAGAAUAAACUUCUCUUUGUUAAAGCCAUCCGCUUGUGGUAUUUCUGUCAUAGCAGCACUAGAUAAUGAAGACAAUAUGUGUAUAUAUGUGUGUCAUGGAUUGUGUCCCCCAAAAAUAUGUGUGUCAAUUUGGCUAGGCCAUGAUUCCCAGUAUUGUGUGAUUGUCCACCAUUUUGUCAUCUAAUGUGAUUUUCCUGUGUUGUAAAUCCUAUCACCACCACGUUAAUGAGAUGGAGUAGCGGCAGUUAUGUUGAUGAGAUCUACAAGACUAGAUUUUGUCUUAAGUCAAUCUCUUUUGAGAUAUAAAAAAGCAGGCAGAUGAGACAUGGGGAACCUCAUACCACCAAGAAAGCAGCGCCAGGAGCAGAGCACAUCCUUCGGAACCGAGGUUCCUGUGAGGAGAAGCUCCUCGACCAAGGGAAGAUUGAUGACAAGGACCUUCCUCCAGAGCUGACAGAGAAAGAAAGCCCUCUCCUGGAGCUGGCGCCCUGAAUCCGGGCUACUAGCCUACAAAACUGUGAGAGAAUAAAUUUUCCUUUGUUAAAGCCACCCACUCGUGGUAUUUCUGUUGUAGCGGCCCUAUGACUAAGACAAUGUGUGUAUAUGUGCAUAUGUGUAUGCACGUGUUUGUGUGCACGUGUGUCUGCGUGAGUGCACGUGCAUGCAACAUAUAUGUGCAUGUACAUGUGUGUAUGUAUGUGUCUGCGUGUGUGUCUGUGUGAGUAUGUGUGUGCAUGUGUAUGUGUGUGAGUGGGCACGUGUGUAUUGUGUACAUGUGCCCAUGUGUAGGUGUAUGCGUGCGUCUGUGAGUAUGUGUGUCUGUGCAUUAGUGUAUGUGUAUGAGUGUAUGCGUAUAUGCACGCCUGCAUGUAUCUGCACACACGUGUGUGGGUGUACGUGUAUAUGUGUGCAUGUGUGUACUUGUGUGUACGCAUGCACACACACAUGCAGACACCAUUAAAGGAGGUGCUCACAACUGCUACCUGAGUCCUUAUUCUUCUAGCCUGUCCACAUUUCCCUAACUGUGUGUGAUGCGCAUCACUGCCCAGCCUGUCACCAUGUUGUUGCAGCUUUUUCAGGGCACUUGAGCCCCAGGAGCCCACAGGCCUGCACAGCCUCAAUGGGGUGG